rfam:Ailuropoda melanoleuca scaffold1722_80, whole genome shotgun sequence.
GCCUGGCUGGCUCAGUCAGUAGAGCACGUAACUCUUGAUCUCAGGGUUGUGAGUUCGAGCCCCACGUUGGGUA